AACGUAGGUGGCGAGCGUUAUCCGGAUUUACUGGGCGUAAAGCGCGUGCAGGUGGUCGGAUAAGUCGGGCGUGAAAUCUCUCGGCUCAACUGGGAGAGGCCGUCCGAUACUAUCUGACUUGAGGGCAGUAGAGGGAGGUGGAAUUCCGGGUGUAGUGGUGAAAUGCGUAGAUAUCCGGAGGAACACCUGUGGCGAAAGCGGCCUCCUGGACUGCCCCUGACACUCAGACGCGAAAGCUAGGGGAGCGAACGGG
rnacentral:rRNA from 1 species